AGACGCAGCCGAGUAUCUUGAGGAGAAGGACUUUAAAGCGUUCAGGGAUUUUAGCUGCCGCUGUGGAGUUCCGCCGCUGUUCUUCCGCUGGAGGGCGCAGUAGUUCCUUAAGAGGGAAUGGUGCGGCGAAUAGCUGUGAGUUCAAAGUCCUGACUACAGAGUUUUGCUCUUGUUGCCCAGGCUGGAGUGCAAUGGCGCGAUCUCGGCUCACCGCAACCUCUGCUUCCCAGGUUCAAGCGAUUCUCCUGCCUCAGCCUCCUGAGUAGCUGGGAUUACAGGCAUGUGCCACCAAGCCCAGACAGAAUCUUGCCCUAUCACCCAGGCUGUAGUGCCGUGGUAUAAUCUUGGCUCGCCGCAACCUCCGCCUCCUGGGUUCAAGCCAUUCUCCUGCUUCAGCCUCCUGAGUAGCUGUGACUACAGGCGUGCACCACCACACCUGGCUAAUUUUUGUAUUUUUAGUAGAGACGGGGUUUCACCAUAUUGGCCAGGCUGGUCUUGAACUCCUGACCUCAAGUGAUUCACCCGCCUGGGCCUUCCAAAGUGCUGGGAUUACAGGCAUGAGCCACUGUGCCCGACCAUAACUCUAACAUUUUAUCAUCAAGAAAUGCUUGCUAUAUGUAUACAUACAUUAGAUUCACAGCCUGCAUAAGAGUUUGUGUGAUUUCUUACUUAGUAAAUACUGAGUGGUAAGGACAAUUCCAAAUUCAUCCCAUGAAAGUUAAUAGGGAAUUCCUAGCAGGUCAUAGGUCAGAUAGAAAAUCUGUCCUUCAUGAAACGCUGAGGACGUGCAAUUCCAAUUAAACCCACUCAAUCUGGAGAAAGAAAUCAAAGGGAGGGGGUGGGCCUGGAAAGAGUACAUCUUAUCUUCAGGUACUGUUUGUUUGAUUUUUUUUAAUACUUGGGGUUUGUUUCUGGGAAGAAUUCUUGACCUGGCAAAAAUUCAUAGUAAUUACUCAGGGGAAAGGAAAAAGAAGAAACAAACAAACAAAAAAUACAUUAAUGUGGUUGGAAAAAAAAUCUAAGAACAUGGUGUUGGUGGGAGAGAAGACUAAAUGUUUGUGGAAGACCCACCCAAGUGCUUUUGAUGUUUGACCAGUUAUUAUCUUAUUGUUCUUCCUGCUAUAGAUACAGCUGCAAUUUAUGUAACAGGAUGUUUAAAAAGAUUAAAGAGAAUCUGUAGUAGGGUUCUGAGAUGAUAAGAGUCCCUAGAAUAUGCAUUUAUGGACGUUUAGAAUAUAAGUUCCUGUACAUUCUUAGAAUAAACCAUCUAUUUGUUUCCUUUUUUAAAAAAGAAACAAACAAAAUUUGUAUUUCAGUAUGGCUGCUUCCUUCCAGCAAGUGAUAUGGAAUAACAGGCAAAGACAGCAAACCAAUAACAGAGCAAAGACAAGUUGGUGCUGGUUCAAACUGUGGCCCAUGCCGGUUCUUAAUUAGCUUUGAGCUUUGAGUCUAAAAUGUUUUAACUCUACAUUAUACACGUGUUUGGAAUUUAUUUGGAUUCAACCUGUUCAUCAGAAAAUGGGUUAUUCUAUGAUACAAGCAGGAUCAUUGUGUGAAAUUUAUGACUGCAAUCACCCAACGUGAAGAUGAAAGUUUAAACAUUUUUUUGCUAGAGGAGUUUUCAAAAAAAAAAAAAAAAAGUGUUCUAUAGAUGUCCCAAACAUACAGAGUGACUUACUGGCGUUUAAGUCUUUCUGCCAUGUGGAGUGCUAUCUUAAGUGAUAAAUUGGCACUGGGCACUUGAUAAAAGGUCAUUGGGCAUAUUCUCCAAGUUUCUGGUGUUAGUCAUGAAUUAAUUGCUUGUUAACUUUAAUUCUCCUAGCAACCUAGGCUAAUACCUACUGCACACUUGCUCUCUCUCUCUCACUGUAUUUCUGUGCAUGUGUAUGUGCAUAAUUUUUUUCUGAACUUGUUUCUGUUUGAUAAUAACUUACAGACAUGAUGCCCCUUUCCAUUAAGCACUUCAGUGGAUAUUUUCUUUUCUUUGUUUUUUUUUUUUUUUUUGAGACAGAGUUUUGCUCUGUCACCCAGGCUGGAGUGCAGUGGCGUGAUCUCAACUCACUGCAACCUCUGCCUCCUGGAUUCCAGCUAUUCUCCUGCCUCAGCCUCCAGGUAGCUGGGACUACAUGCAUAUGCCACCAUGCCCAGCUAAUUUUGUAUUUUUAGUAGAGACAGGGUUUCACCAUGUUGGCCAGGCUGGUCUCAAACUCCUGACCUCGUGAUCUGCCCGCCUCGGCCUCCCAAAGUGCUGGGAUUACAGGAGUGAGCCACCACGCCCCGCCAGUGUAUAUUUUCUAAAAACAAGGAUAUUCUCUUUCAUAACCACAAUUAUAAAAAUUAAGAAAUCAAUAUUGAUUCAAUAAUAUUUUCUAACCUACAGACCUCAUUUGAAUUUGCUCAAAUGUUCCAAUAAUGUCCAUUAUGGUAAAAUAAAUUCUAUAUCAUACAUUG
rnacentral:lncRNA from 1 species